rnacentral:rRNA from 1 species
UACGUAGGGGGCUAGCGUUGUCCGGAUUUAUUGGGCGUAAAGAGCGUGUAGGCGGCCUGGUAGGUCUGCUGUGAAAACUCGAGGCUCAACCUCGAGAUGUCGGCGGAAACCAUCUGGCUAGAGUCCGGAAGAGGAGAGUGGAAUUCCUGGUGUAGCGGUGAAAUGCGCAGAUAUCAGGAAGAACACCUAUGGCGAAGGCAGCUCUCUGGGACGGUACUGACACUCAGGUGCGACAGCGUGGGGAGCAAACAGG